AAACAAGAAGAGCCCACCGCCAGGCACAUUUCUUUGGCUUUGUUUUUGCCACAUUUCGUUUUCACUUUGCGGCAAGGGUUCUCUACGUUAUUUCUCUAAUUCUCUGGUCACCUUAUGCGACAGCGAGAGAGCGAGAAAGCCGCUCGUGACGCCAGCAAAACGCGUCAAAGAGGCCUCAUCUGUCUCUGUUCUGUCUGUGUCUAUGCCUAUGUUCACCGCAUAUAUAUCACCGCCCCUCCUCCGCCCCUUAACAAAAACAAACGUUCCAACACCCGAAAAUAAACGACAAUUGUUUAAUGCACUUUGACACAGUUUAAAUUCGUAGGAAAAUUACCUAAACAGACGCGAGUGCCAAAACAUGCAAAUGGACGAAUAAAAGAUACCUUUUAAAUAUUAAGACAUAUAAGGAGCUCAAAAAAGGAUUACCGAUAGCUUUUACACAAUUUAGAAAAACUUAAAACCUCGUUCUGUAAUUAUUUUUCAUUGUUAGUUUAAUAUGUUUUCGUGUUGUGUCAGCACACCCAUAAAUACUCUUGUUAUCAUUUCAAAUGAUCAAGUAAACGAUUCUGUUAUUGCUCAACUUGCGUGGAUCUGAGAUACAGCCUAAAGUGGAAAAUUGCAGCCCGAAGGGUGCGAGAAAGCAGCCAGCUGAGAAAAUUACGCAUACGCCCCGUUACCCCGUUGCCAGAUGCCAAGGUGCACUGUUUUAGGGGAAAAGGAAAACGGGAAAGAUAGAAAUGCUCUACCUAUGAGAGAAUUGCUUUCAAAAACAAAUUGGCCACCGCAAUCUGGCUUCCGCAAAUGAUAGGCCUCAUUAUAGGCCCAAUUUACAUAAUACAUAAGCAGUGAUAAAUGGAGACGGCAAAUAGCACUGAUACGGGGACAUUGCGUGCCGCCUUGGAUCAGCGAUAGUUGUUGGGGAGUCCGCCAAAGGUCGCCUUACAUAAGUCGGCCGUUGAGUCGUAAGAAGCCAAUUAGGGUUCAAAAGGUGAAGGAGCCAAAGCCGACCGGCAGGAGACGUCAUCGCAAGUUCGGAUAAUAGCACCGACCACGCUGAAACGCACUGCAUAUAUAUUAUUAUAAUUAUUUAUUUGUUUACUGCUAGGCUUAUAUCAACAUCAAGAAAUGUCAAUGCUUCAUUACAAUACAUUCAAAUACUAAUUUGAAAUAAAACACAAGCUGCAAUGAUGAUGUACUACAAAGGUAGUAUAAGAUUCUGGGAAUCCCUUAA